GGUGCUUUGUUCGACAAGGAGCCUAUCGCCGUCACCUUGGGUGCAGCCGUCCGGUGGAAGGCGCUCUGCCUUUUUCAGAAGGCGAGGAGGAUCGGCGGAUCCAGCCCCCCCUCCUCUCCAGCAGCUCGGCGGAGACAAAAGAGGAGGUCACCGGGAGAUGCCGAAAGAUCAAAGGAGGAUGGUUGUUGAUGAUUUGUGCUCGUCGGCGGGACGGUGCAAGGUGCAACUCCGACGCGGUUCCUCACCGGUUGGAUGGCGUUCAGGCGCAACCCCGGCGCGCACUGAGUACUGCCUCGGC